rnacentral:rRNA from 1 species
CGUAGGUGGCAAGCGUUGUCCGGAUUUAUUGGGUUUAAAGGGUGCGUAGGCGGUCUUAUAAGUCAGUGCUGAAAUAUCCCGGCUUAACCGGGAGGGUGGCAUUGAUACUGUAGGACUUGAGUAAAGUUGAGGUUGGCGGAAUUGACGGUGUAGCGGUGAAAUGCUUAGAUAUCGUCGAGAACACCGAUAGUGUAGACAGCUAACUAAGCUUUAACUGACGCUGAGGCACGAAAGUGUGGGGAUCAAACAGGAUUAGAUACCCUGGUAGUCCACACUGUAAACGUUGAAGACUCGCUGUUGGCGAUACACAGUCAGCGGCUGAGAGAAAUCGUUAAGUCUUCCACCUGGGGAGUACGCCGGCAACGGUG